rnacentral:misc_RNA from 1 species
CAGCAACGUCCACGCGUACAUACCUCUUCAGUUUGGCUCAAGGUAGAAUUUUCCUUGAGCAAUGUGCGGGAUCUCUGUGUUGCAUACCUAUAUGAAGGAAUUGCAAUGCUGUAAAAGUGUCCCUGUUCAUCGCGCGCCGCUCUUGUGACGUGGGUUGAACCUUGAAGCAAUCUCUGUCAUCCAUGAUAUUAGUGCGUGAGUGCUGGUUUCUUGGCUAGUGGAGCAUUGCUUGGACUCUCGGAUAUGGAACCUUAGGUGGGGAAUGGGGUCGUCAUGGCCUUCUGUUUGCCCCAAAUAAGCGUUCUCGCUUCUCUAAAAAUGACGUCAGUUGCGUGUAGACAUGUUUGUGCGUGACUGGCGACGUUGAAG